AUGUUUAAUGGGAGUUGCUCUGUCCUGCAUUUCUUUGCAGAUGUGCCUGGAGGAGGUGAUCCAGGUUCCCCUCUAGGUUCUGGGACUGAAUCUCCAGCAGAUCACAUGGGUCCAGAAGAAGGAAAGGAUGAAUCCAAAAGAGUAGAAUACUCCCAGGGCUCAUCCCAUCUCCUAAAUGACCUGCUGAAGGAAAUGGAGAAUGCAGCGCGUGGGACUGACCAACAAACUGCACAGGACGCGCUGCAGGAAGGCAGCCAUCCCACGCUGCCAGUCUGGGACAGAGGAACGCAGAUAGCGCCAACGACUGGCAUGCCAGGUAAUUUCUGUCCUGUGGUCAUCCAGAGUCACUAACCAGAGUCAGUGUGUGCCUGCAGGCUCUUCCUGCCUGCUCUUGCACCCCAGGUCAGCAGCCAAACCUGAGCGUA
rnacentral:lncRNA from 7 species